rnacentral:rRNA from 1 species
UGGUGGAGUGAUUUGUCUGGUUAAUUCCGAUAACGGACGAGACCUCGAUCUACUAACUAGUGAGCAUAAACGUCUAACGGGUGAAGGCCUAGUGCUGGGCGGCAGCUUGCUGUCGUCUACUCUGGGUUGGAUCCUUGAUGAUUUGAGUAAACUUCUUAGAGAGACAAUCAAGGUUUACUUGAAGGAAGUGAGGCAAUAACA